rnacentral:tRNA from 1 species
GCCUGGCUGGCUCAAUUGGAGGAGCAUGUGACUCUUGAUCUCCAGGUUGUGAGUUCAAACCCCACUUUGGGUA